GGGGCUGUAGUUUAACCUGGCUAGAAUAUUAAUAAAUAUAUGGCCGAAAUUGACGGCUCCAGACCGUUAGAUCAGGGUUCAAAUCCCUGCAGCCCCA
rnacentral:tRNA from 1 species